rnacentral:rRNA from 1 species
GAUGAACGCUGGCGGCGUGCCUAAUACAUGCAAGUCGAGCGAACAGACGAUGAGCUUGCUCCUCUGACGUUAGCGGCGGACGGGUGAGUAACACGUGGAUAACCUACCUAUAAGACUGGGAUAACUUCGGGAAACCGGAGCUAAUACCGGAUAAUAUAUUGAACCGCAUGGUUCAAUAGUGAAAGACGGUUUUGCUGUCACUUAUAGAUGGAUCCGCGCCGCAUUAGCUAGUUGGUAAGGUAACGGCUUCCCAAGGCAACGAUGCGUAGCCGAGUCGAGAGGGAUAUCCAGCCACACUGAAAUGGGGCACGGUCCCGACUCCCACGGGGGGGCGCAGGAGGGAAACUUCCGAAAAGGGGGGAAACCUUGCGGCACACAGCCCCGUGAGUGAUGAAGGUCUUCGGAGCGUAAAACUCUGUUAUUAGGGAAAAAAAAAUGUGUAAGUAACUAUGCGCGUCUCGGAGGUAACUAAUAAGAUAACCACGGCUAAAUACGUG